rnacentral:tRNA from 1 species
CCGUAGCUCAGUGGUUAGAGCAGUCGGCUCAUAACCGAUCGGUCGCAGGUUCGAUCCCUGCCGGGCC